rnacentral:rRNA from 1 species
AACGGAGGGGGCUAGUGUUACUCAACUUGACUGGGCGUAAAGGGCGUGAAGGUGGUAUAGUACGUUUUUUUUGUAAAUACUCAAACAUAAUUUGAGGAACAUUAAAAUACGAUUAUGCUUGAGUUUAUUUGAAGAAAGUUGUACUUCUAGUGUAGAGGUGAAAUUUGCAAAAAUUAGAGGGACAGUCUACGGGCGAAAGCGACUUUCUAGAAUAAACUGACACUAUAGCGCAAAAGCAUAGGUAGCAAACGGG